UACGGGGGGGGCAAGCGUUGUUCGGAAUUACUGGGCGUAAAGGGUUCGUAGGCGGCCAAUUAAGUCAGACGUGAAAUCCCCAGGCUUAACCUGGGAACUGCGUCUGAUACUGGAUGGCUUGAAUUCGGGAGAGGGAUGCAGAAUUCCAGGUGUAGCGGUGAAAUGCGUAGAUAUCUGGAGGAAUACCGGUGGCGAAGGCGGCAUCCUGGACCGAGAUUGACGCUGAUGAGCGAAAGCUAGGGGAGCAAACGGG
rnacentral:rRNA from 1 species